CCCUUUCCUUCCUUUCUUUUGGUUUAGAGAAGCCCUUUCAAUAUUUCCUUUAACCUGGGUUUUGUGUUGCUGUAUUCUUUAAGUUUUUGUUUGUUGGGAAAAAUUUUUAUUUCCCCUUCUAUUUUAAAUGAUAUUCUUGCUGGAUAAAGUAUUCUAGGUUGCAUAUUUUUUCCUUUGAGCACUUUAAAUAUCUCUUGCCAUUCCCUCCUGGCCUGUAGUGUUUCUGUAGAGAAAUCAGCUGAUAUUCUUAUGGGGGUUCCCUUGUAGGUAACAUUCUGUUUUUCUCUUGCUGCCUUUAGGAUCCUCUCUUUAUCACUAACUUUUGCCAUUUUUAUUAUGAUGUGUCUUGGUGUGGGUCUGUUUGGGUUCAGUUUGUUUGGGGCCCUCUGUGCUUCUUGUAUCUUGAAUCCAGUAUCCUUUAGAUUUGGGAAGUUUCCAGCGAUAAUUUCUUCAAAUAUAUUUUCCAUUCCCUUAUCUUUUUCUACUCCUUCUGGAAUUCCUAUUAUGCGUAGAUUGGCUCGUUUUAUAUUAUCCCAUAGGUCUCUUAUAUUGCUUUCCAGUUUUUUGAUUCGGUUUUCUGUCUGUUGACCAGAUUGAGUGAUUUCCAUUAUUCUAUCUUCCAUAUCACUGAUUCGUUCUUCUGCAUUAUUCAUUCUGGUUUUUACUGCCCCUAGUUCAGUUUGCAUCUCUGCAAAUGAAUGUUCUAGUUUUUCUUGGCUCCUCCUUAUAUUUUCUAGCUCCUUUCUGAGGGUAUCUGCAUUGCUGUUCAUAUCUUCUCUUAAUUCCUUCAGUAUUUUCACUAUUUCUCUUUUGAACUCCAGGUCUGUCAGACUGCAGAGAUCAGUUUCAUUGUUGACUGUUUUAGGUGAGUUCUCCUGUUGGUUUGACUGGGGGUGGUUUCUCAGCUUCUUCAUCUUGCUUGUUGUCUUCUUUCUCCUGAGGGAGUUGUACUCUCCGUUAUCGGGUAGUGUUUGCCUUGUCACUGCCGUGGAAUAUUUCCUGAGGGCUGUCGUUGUUGGUCAAUCUUUUUUUGAGGCAGUGUGGCUUUUCUGGAGUGUUGAUGGGACUAACAGUGUUUCUUUGAAGCAAAGGAGGACUUCCUGAGGGCAGACAGGACUGGGAGGUCCACCCCACGAUGGUAGCAGAUUUCACUUGGUUCUCAGCACCCCCUGGGGUCUUGGGCGGGUAGCAGGGCCCUUGGAGACUCAAGAGGUUCCUCCCCAGGGCAGCCCGAUUCAGAAAGACCGUCUGAGAUCUUUUCCCGAUUCCGCCAGGCUUGUUGCAGCUUUUCUGGGCUGCAGGGGGUCCUGCCUGGAGCUGGCAGUCCUAUGCAGCUGGUCCACUAGGUCUCAGCACCCCUUGGGGUCUUGGGCGAGUAGCAGGGCCUUUGGAGACUCAAGAGGCUCCUCCCCAGAACAGCCCGACUCAGAAAGACCGUCUGAGAUCUUUUCCCAAUUCGGCCAGGCUUGUUGCAGCUUUUCUGGGCUGCAGGGGGUCCUGCCUGGAGCUGGCAGUCCUAUGCAGCUGGUCCACUAGGUCUCAGCACCCCUUGGGGUCUUGGGUGGGUAGCAGGGCCCUUGGAGACUCAAGAGGCUCCUCCCCAGGGCAGCCCGAUUCAGAAAGACCGUUUGAGAUCUUUUCCCGAUUCGGCCAGGCUUGUUGCAGCUUUUCUGGGCUGCAGGGGGUCCUGCCUGGAGCUGGCAGUCCUAUGCAGCUGGUCCACUAGGUCUCAGCACCCCCUGGGGUCUUGGGCGGGUAGCAGGGCCUUUGGAGGCUCAAGAGGCUCCUCCCCAGGACAGCCCGACUCAGAAAGACCGUCUGAGAUCUUUUCCCGAUUCCGCCAGGCUUGUUGCAGCUUUUCUGGGCUGCAGGGGGUCCUGCCUGGAGCUGGCAGUCCUAUGCAGCUGGUCCACUAGGUCUCAGCACCCCUUGGGGUCUUGGGCGGGUAGCAGGGCCCUUGGAGACUCAAGAGGCUCCUCCCCAGGACAGCCCGACUCAGAAAGACCGUUUGAGAUCUUUUCCCAAUUCGGCCAGGCUUGUUGCAGCUUUUCUGGGCUGCAGGGGGUCCUGCCUGGAGCUGGCAGUCCUAUGCAGCUGGUCCCCUAGGUCUUAGCACCCCCUGGGGUCUUGGGCGUGUAGCAAGGCCCUUGGAGACUCAAGAGGCUCCUCCCCGGGGGAGCCCGUCUCAGAAAAACCGUCGGAGAAUUAGGUCGAUCUAUUCACGGCCUGGCUAGGCUUGUUCUAGCUUUUCUGGGCUGCAGGCCUUUUCUAGGGGGCUGGUGGUGUUUGGUGCUGCUCUGUGGAAGUGUAGCCCCUCCAAAGGGCAAGCAGGCCUGUGCAGGGAGAGCCCCUGCGGUGGUAGGCUUCAGGCAAUUGUUGAGGCCAGCCCUCCUGGAUGGCAGGCAGCCCCAGGUUCGGCGAGAGCGUAGGGGGUGGCGGGGGUGGGGGGAGGGAAUGCACUGGGAAGCACAGCUUUCUGCUAGCUAGCGGGCCUGUAAGCUUGCUGUGGCGUGGGGGGUAUUCUAUGGGGACCCACCCCUUCUUCUCUCCCCUCCCCAGCACGGGCGCAGACCAGGCUCUUCUCCCAGGUUCCCUCUGAGGCGGCUUUCCACUUCCCCGCCCCUAGAGUAUUGCUCCCUUCCUCUGCGACAGCUUUGUUUUCUAGUCUCCCAGGCAGUCUCUGCCCCGUCAAAUGGUUUAGAGACCUCCCAAGCAGUUUCCGCUCUUCC
rnacentral:lncRNA from 1 species